GGCAGCGUGGCGCAGUGGUUAGGGAACAGGACCCGUGACCCCGAGGCUGUCGGUUCGAUUCCCCGGGGAGGCGCUGCCG
rnacentral:tRNA from 1 species